UGACUGUUUUGCUUCAGCACAUAUUUUAC
rnacentral:sRNA from 1 species